UUUUUUUAAGACUACAUUUUUUUAUUUGGUGGUUGAAUGCAUUCUCAUAAGAUCUUUUGCAGACCUAGUUGAAACCUGCAGAAGCUCUACACCAGCUCUUGCAAUCAUGUGAGAAGUCCAGCCAUAUUUUGAAGGUGCCAUCAACCUCAUCUUAACUGCCAUUUCAGCCAGGACAAUUUAAAGGUUUAGCCGCCUCCUUGUAAACCAUGUGCCCAGCUCAACUUCUUCAGUUGGACUUUCCUUUAAAGUCACCCAUACACAUGGCAAGCUGCCAACCUUGCAAGGUUUAAGUGCCAUGCAUCUUGUCUACCCCUCUGUAUGGGGGG
rnacentral:lncRNA from 1 species